rnacentral:rRNA from 1 species
CCAGACUCCUACGGGAGGCAGCAGUGAGGAAUAUUGGUCAAUGGGCGCGAGCCUGAACCAGCCAAGUCGCGUGAGGGAGGACGGCCCUACGGGUUGUAAACCUCUUUUGCCGGGGAGCAACGGGCGUCACGUGUGGCGCCACUGAGAGUACCCGGAGAAAAAGCAUCGGCUAACUCCGUGCCAGCAGCCGCGGUAAUACGGAGGAUGCGAGCGUUAUCCGGAUUUAUUGGGUUUAAAGGGUGCGUAGGCGGUAUCGUGAAGGCGGUGGGAAAUUGGGGGGCCCAACCCCUUCCCCGCCAUUGAAACUGGCGCUCUUGAGUGGAAGAGAAGUAUGCGGAAUGCGUGGUGUAGCGGUGAAAUGCAUAGAUAUCACGCAGAACCCCGAUUGCGAAGGCAGCAUGCCGGCUUCCGACUGACGCUGAAGCACGAAAGCGUGGGGAUCGAACAGGAUUAGAUACCCCCGUA